UGAGGAAUAUUGGUCAAUGGACGAAAGUCUGAACCAGCGACGCCGCGUGUGGGAUGAAGGGGCUUUGCCCUGUAAACCACUGUCGGAAGGGAAAAAAAGAAGUAUGAACUUCUGGGAUUGUACCUUCAAAGGAAGGAUCGGCUAACUACGUGCCAGCAGCCGCGGUAAUACGUAGGAUCCAAGCGUUGUCCGGAUUUACUGGGUGUAAAGGGUGCGUAGGCGGACUCGUGCGUUAGAGGUUAAAUCUUCGGCUCAACCGAAGAAAUGCCUUUAAUACGGCGAGUCUUGAGUGCGAGAGAGGAUAGUAGAAUUCCUGGUGUAGCGGUGAAAUGCGUAGAUAUCAGGAGGAAUACCAGUGGCGAAGGCGGCUAUCUGGCUCGUAACUGACGCUGAGGCACGA
rnacentral:rRNA from 1 species